CACAUGUUUUAUGGAGGAUAA
rnacentral:snRNA from 1 species